rnacentral:rRNA from 1 species
UUAAAUUGAAGAGUUUGAUCAUGGCUCAGAUUGAACGCUGGCGGCAGGCCUAACACAUGCAAGUCGAACGGUAGCAGGAAGAAGCUUGCUUCUUUGCUGACGAGUGGCGGACGGGUGAGUAAUGUCUGGGAAACUGCCUGAUGGAGGGGGAUAACUACUGGAAACGGUAGCUAAUACCGCAUAACGUCGCAAGACCAAAGAGGGGGACCUUCGGGCCUCUUGCCAUCGGAUGUGCCCAGAUGGGAUUAGCUAGUAGGUGGGGUAACGGCUCACCUAGGCGACGAUCCCUAGCUGGUCUGAGAGGAUGACCAGCCACACUGGAACUGAGACACGGUCCAGACUCCUACGGGAGGCAGCAGUGGGGAAUAUUGCACAAUGGGCGCAAGCCUGAUGCAGCCAUGCCGCGUGUAUGAAGAAGGCCUUCGGGUUGUAAAGUACUUUCAGCGGGGAGGAAGGGAGUAAAGUUAAUACCUUUGCUCAUUGACGUUACCCGCAGAAGAAGCACCGGCUAACUCCGUGCCAGCAGCCGCGGUAAUACGGAGGGUGCAAGCGUUAAUCGGAAUUACUGGGCGUAAAGCGCACGCAGGCGGUUUGUUAAGUCAGAUGUGAAAUCCCCGGGCUCAACCUGGGAACUGCAUCUGAUACUGGCAAGCUUGAGUCUCGUAGAGGGGGGUAGAAUUCCAGGUGUAGCGGUGAAAUGCGUAGAGAUCUGGAGGAAUACCGGUGGCGAAGGCGGCCCCCUGGACGAAGACUGACGCUCAGGUGCGAAAGCGUGGGGAGCAAACAGGAUUAGAUACCCUGGUAGUCCACGCCGUAAACGAUGUCGACUUGGAGGUUGUGCCCUUGAGGCGUGGCUUCCGGAGCUAACGCGUUAAGUCGACCGCCUGGGGAGUACGGCCGCAAGGUUAAAACUCAAAUGAAUUGACGGGGGCCCGCACAAGCGGUGGAGCAUGUGGUUUAAUUCGAUGCAACGCGAAGAACCUUACCUGGUCUUGACAUCCACGGAAGUUUUCAGAGAUGAGAAUGUGCCUUCGGGAACCGUGAGACAGGUGCUGCAUGGCUGUCGUCAGCUCGUGUUGUGAAAUGUUGGGUUAAGUCCCGCAACGAGCGCAACCCUUAUCCUUUGUUGCCAGCGGUCCGGCCGGGAACUCAAAGGAGACUGCCAGUGAUAAACUGGAGGAAGGUGGGGAUGACGUCAAGUCAUCAUGGCCCUUACGACCAGGGCUACACACGUGCUACAAUGGCGCAUACAAAGAGAAGCGACCUCGCGAGAGCAAGCGGACCUCAUAAAGUGCGUCGUAGUCCGGAUUGGAGUCUGCAACUCGACUCCAUGAAGUCGGAAUCGCUAGUAAUCGUGGAUCAGAAUGCCACGGUGAAUACGUUCCCGGGCCUUGUACACACCGCCCGUCACACCAUGGGAGUGGGUUGCAAAAGAAGUAGGUAGCUUAACCUUCGGGAGGGCGCUUACCACUUUGUGAUUCAUGACUGGGGUGAAGUCGUAACAAGGUAACCGUAGGGGAACCUGCGGUUGGAUCACCUCCUUACCUUAAAGAAGC